rnacentral:rRNA from 1 species
AACGAACGCUGGCGGCAUGCCUAACACAUGCAAGUCGAACGAGACCUUCGGGUCUAGUGGCGCACGGGUGCGUAACGCGUGGGAACCUGCCCUUAGGUUCGGAAUAACUCCCCGAAAGGGGUGCUAAUACCGGAUAAUGUCUUCGGACCAAAGAUUUAUCGCCUUUGGAUGGGCCCGCGUUGGAUUAGCUAGUUGGUAGGGUAAAAGCCUACCAAGGCGACGAUCCAUAGCUGGUCUGAGAGGAUGAUCAGCCACACUGGGACUGAGACACGGCCCAGACUCCUACGGGAGGCAGCAGUGGGGAAUAUUGGACAAUGGGCGAAAGCCUGAUCCAGCAAUGCCGCGUGAGGGAUGAAGGCCUGAGGGUUGUAAAGCUCUUUUACCCGGGAUGAUAAUGACAGUACCGGGAGAAUAAGCUCCGGCUAACUCCG